rnacentral:rRNA from 1 species
UACUCCUACGGGAGGCAGCAGUAGGGAAUCUUCCACAAUGGACGCAAGUCUGAUGGAGCAACGCCGCGUGAGUGAAGAAGGCUUUCGGGUCGUAAAACUCUGUUGUUGGAGAAGAAUGGUCGGCAGAGUAACUGUUGUCGGCGUGACGGUAUCCAAC